AUUGAACGCUAGCGGGAUGCUUUACACAUGCAAGUCGAACGAGUGGCGGACGGGUGAGUAAUAUAUCGGAACGUGCCCAGUAGCGGGGGAUAACUACUCGAAAGAGUGGCUAAUACCGCAUACGCUUGGCGCGGCCGAUAGCGGAUUAGCUAGUUGGGGGGGGAAAGGCUGACCAAGGCAACGAUCCGUAGCUGGUUUGAGAGGACGACCUGCCACAGUGUGACUGAGACACGGCCCAGAUGCCUACUGGCGGCAGCAGGUGGGAAUUUUGGACAAUGGGGGAAACCCUGAUCCAGCCAUCCCGCGUGUAUGAGAAGGCCUUCGGGUUGUAAAGUACUUUUGGCAGAGAAGCGGUAUCUGCAGAAUAAGCACCGGCUAAAUACGUGCCAGCAGCCGCGGUAAUAC
rnacentral:rRNA from 1 species